rnacentral:rRNA from 1 species
UACGGAGGGUGCGAGCGUUAAUCGGAAUUACUGGGCGUAAAGGGUGCGUAGGUGGUUUGAUAAGUUAUCUGUGAAAGCCCUGGGCUCAACCUGGGAAGGCCAGAUAAGACUGUUAGACUGGAGUAUGGGAGAGGUAGUGGAAUUUCCGGUGUAAGCGGUGAAAUGCGUAGAGAUCGGAAGGAACACCAGUGGCGAAGGCGGCUCCU